GAGUGGCGAACGGGUGAGUAACACGUGGGUAACCUGCCCAUCAGAAGGGGAUAACACUUGGAAACAGGUGCUAAUACCGUAUAACAAUCGAAACCGCAUGGUUUUGAUUUGAAAGGCGCUUUCGGGUGUCGCUGAUGGAUGGACCCGCGGUGCAUUAGCUAGUUGGUGAGGUAACGGCUCACCAAGGCCACGAUGCAUAGCCGACCUGAGAGGGUGAUCGGCCACAUUGGGACUGAGACACGGCCCAAACUCCUACGGGAGGCAGCAGUAGGGAAUCUUCGGCAAUGGACGAAAGUCUGACCGAGCAACGCCGCGUGAGUGAAGAAGGUUUUCGGAUCGUAAAACUCUGUUGUUAGAGAAGAACAAGGAUGAGAGUAACUGUUCAUCCCUUGACGGUAUCUAACCAGAAAGCCACGGCUAACUACGUGCCAGCAGCCGCGGUAAUACGUAGGUGGCAAGCGUUGUCCGGAUUUAUUGGGCGUAAAGCGAGCGCAGGCGGUUUCUUAAGUCUGAUGUGAAAGCCCCCGGCUCAMCCGGGGAGGGUCAUUGGAAACUGGGAGACUUGAGUGCAGAAGAGGAGAGUGGAAUUCCAUGUGUAGCGGUGAAAUGCGUAGAUAUAUGGAGGAACACCAGUGGCGAAGGCGGCUCUCUGGUCUGUAACUGACGCUGAGGCUCGAAAGCGUGGGGAGCAAACAGGAAUUAGAUACCCUGGUAGUCCACGCCGUAAACGAUGAGUGCUAAGUGUUGGAGGGUUUCCGCCCUUCAGUGCUGCAGCUAACGCAUUAAGCACUCCGCCUGGGGAGUACGACCGCAAGGUUGAAACUCAAAGGAAUUGACGGGGGCCCGCACAAGCGGUGGAGCAUGUGGUUUAAUUCGAAGCAACGCGAAGAACCUUACCAGGUCUUGACAUCCUUUGACCACUCUAGAGAUAGAGCUCCCUUCGGGGGCAAAGUGACAGGUGGUGCAUGGUUGUCGUCAGCUCGUGUCGUGAGAUGUUGGGUUAAGUCCCGCAACGAGCGCAACCCUUAUUGUUAGUUGCCAUCAUUCAGUUGGGCACUCUAGCAAAGACUGNCCGGUGACAAACCGGAGGAAGGUGGGGAUGACGUCAAAUCAUCAUGCCCCUUAUGACCUGGGCUACACACGUGCUACAAUGGGAAGUACAACGAGUCGCGAAGUCGCGAGGCUAAGCUAAUCUCUUAAAGCUUCUCUCAGUUCGGAUUGCAGGCUGCAACUCGCCUGCAUGAAGCCGGAAUCGCUAGUAAUCGCGGAUCASCACGCCGCGGUGAAUACGUUCCCGGGCCUUGUACACMCCGCCCGUCACACCACGARAGUUUGUAACACCAAGUCGGUGAGGUAACCUUUKGGAGCCAGCCGCCUAAGGUGGGAUAGAUGAUUGGGGUGAAGUCGUA
rnacentral:rRNA from 1 species